AUGUCUAAGUGGAGUAUUAUACAGCGAAACUGCGAACGGCUCAUUACAACAGAUAUAAUUUACUAGUUCUUGAUCCUAUAUGGAUAACUGCGGUAAUUCUGGAGCCAAUACAUGCAUCAAGCCGCGGCCUUCGGGUUCGUGGUGCAAUUAUUGGGGCAAAACCAGUCUUGUACUGUUUGCUAACUCUGGAUAAUUCUGCUUAUCGCAUGGUCUUGUACCGGCGAAGUUUCUUUCAAGUAUCUGCUUUAUCAACUAUCGUUGGUAGUUUAUUGGACUACCAUGGUGUUGACGGGUAACGGAGAAUCAGGGUUUGACUCCGGAGAGGGAGCCUUAGAAACGGCUACCAUGUCUAAGGAUAGCAGCAGGCGCGAAAAUUACCCAAUAUCAAAACGAUGAGGUAGUGACGAGAAAUAACGAGAUCGUUCUCUUUGAGGUCGAUUAUUGGAAUGAGUACAAUCCAGACAUUUUAACGAGUAUCUACGAGAGGGCAAGUCUGGUGCCAGCAGCCGCGGUAAUUCCAGCUCUCGUAAUGUAUAGAAUUAUUGUUGCGAUUAAAAAGUUCGUAGUUGGAUUGUUACGCAGGCAUGGGUCUACCUUCGUGGUACGUACUCAAUGCUUGCAUUUUGUUGGUUUUCGCGGCGUCGUUUCGGCGGCGUUCGUGAUGCCAGCAGGAUUACUUUGAACGGCUCAAGUGCUUAAAGCGAGUCUUAUGACUGAAUACCGGUGCAUGGAAUAAUGGAAUAAGGUUGCGGCCGAGUUUUAUUGGUUUUGUCGGCUGAAACAAUGGUUAACAGGAACAGCCGGGGGCAUUCGUAUCGCUGCGCGAGAGGUGAAAUUCGUGGACCGUAGCGAGACGCCCGACAGCGAAGGCAUUUGCCAAGAGUGUUUUCAUUAAUCAAGAACGAAAGUCAGAGGUUCGAAGGCGAUUAGAUACCGCCCUAGUUCUGACCGUAAACGAUGCCAACUGUCGAUCCGCUCUUGGAUCUAAUUCUUGAGCGGGGAGAUUCCCGGAAACGAAAGUUUUUCGGUUUCGGGGGAAGUAUGGUUGCAAAGCUGAAACUUAAAGGAAUUGACGGAAGGGCACCACCAGGAGUGGAGCUUGCGGCUUAAUUUGACUCAACACGGGAAAUCUCACCCGGCCAGUACAUCGUAAGGAUUGACAGACUGACAGCUCUUUCAUGAUUCGGUGAAUGGUGGUGCAUGGCCGUUCUUAGUUCGUGGAUUGAUUUGUCUGGUUUAUUCCGAUAACGAGCGAGACUUUAACUAUUAAAUAGUGCAUUCGUUGCUUUGCUGCGUUUGAACACUUCUUAAAGGAAUUUGUGGUUUCCAACCUCAAGAAAUUGAGCAAUAACAGGUCUGUGAUGCCCUUAGAUGUUCGGGGCCGCACGCGUGCUACAAUGGUGGUAACAGCGUGAUUGUCCUUUUCCGACAGGAAUUGGCAAACAGUUGAGAUAUUAUUAUGGCUGGAAUUGAGUGUUGAAAUUUUCUCUCAUGAACGAGGAAUUCCAAGUAAAUGUGAGUCAUUAACUUGCAUUGAUUACGUCCCUGCCCUUUGUACACACCGCCCGUCGCUGCCCGGGACUGAGUUACUUCGAGAAAACUAGGGAUUGUUGAAGUUCAAUGCUUCGGUAUUGUCUUUGAUGCGAACUAGUUUAAUCGCAGUGGCUUGAACCGGGCGCCA
rnacentral:rRNA from 1 species